AGUACUCCAGCCACAAAUGCAGAAUCUAUGAUCACAAACAAGGAGGAUGAGCUGAAGUUGACUGAAUACAUCUCCUGCUCUGGCUGAGGAUGGAUGGGAGUGGGGUGAAACUAGCUGCUCACUCCAGAAGAACCUAAAGCAUGUCACACAGUCAAGGACAAUUUUCUCUGCAGGCCCUCUGGAUGGAAAAGAAGGGUCGACACCAAAAGCAUGUGCUGGGAGGUAUGUAAGGUUGAAGUUCAAAGGUCAAAUCCAAAUAUGCUCAAUGAGAUACUCUGGUUGAACCAUAGGAGCUGAGUCCCUGAACCACAGGACCCAGGAAGGUGCAGAGUGAGCAGCAAUAGGCAUAGUUGACCAGCAUGUGGCCUGGAAAUUUUCCGGAAGGAAAGCACAAUUUUCUUCAACUAUUUUUAUCAUGUUCCCAGGGCCUGGCCUAUUUGAUGCAAGAGAUAAAAGAGCACGCAAGGUGGACAUGGUCCCUGACUCCCCCACAAGGGCUUAGAAUCUACUAGACAAGGCUGACCAUUAAAGAACUUGGCCAGCACCUCAGACUCAUCUUUCCAGCUUGCCACCAGGAAAGAAAGAACUUUUCUCCAGUCAGUCAAGGGCAAAAAGAAAAUUUCAUUGGCCUAGCUUGGGUCAUAUGCCCACCUCUUAGAAGAAUUAGUAAAGCCAGAUGGGUAAUCCAGCUGGGGUAACAUGCCCACCCUGUGGAUGGGAGAGAGAGAGAGGAGAGAGGGGUGAUGCUUUCGCAGCCUGUCUGAGAAGCACAAGAAUGAGGGGUGACUAAACCAGAGAAACGGAAAGGGGCACUGGGGAAACGUUCACAAUAGAUAGACUAUUAAGUUCUCACAAGUCACCUGUGUUAAUGCAUCUGUCUUGCUUUGGAGAUUUAAGAGGAUGAUGACUCUCUCUGAAUUCAGAUAGGACUUGACCCCUUGAAAACUGUAAUUCUCUACUUUUUUUGAAAGCUAAAUAAGGCUGGGCACAGUGGCUCAUGCCUGUAAUCCCAGCAUUUUGGGAGGCCAGGGCAGGUGGAUCACAAGGUCAAGAGAUCGAGACCAUCCUGGUCAACACAGUGAAACCCAAUCUCUACUAAAAUACAAAAAUUUAACCGGGCUUGGUGGCGCAUGCCUGUAGUCCCAGCUACUCGGGAGGCUGAGGCAGGGGAAUUGCUUGAACCCGGGAGGUGGAAGUUUCAGUGAGCCGAGAUUGCACCACCGCACUCCAGCCUGGCAACAGAGCAAGACUCCAUCUCAAAAAAAAAAAAA
rnacentral:lncRNA from 1 species